UACUCGGGAGGCUGAGGCCGGAGAAUGGCGUGAACCCGGGAGGCGGAGCUUGCAGUGAGCUGAGAUCCAGCCACUGCACUCCAGCCUGGGCUACAGAGCGAGACUCCAUCUCAAAAAAAAAAAAAAAAGUAUAGGUGACGCAAAUUUCAUCCUGGCACAAUAGACAUAGUACCAUAAGGGAAAGAUGAAAGAACUGAAUCCGGCAUAAAAAGCAAAGACAAACCCUUAUACCUUCUGCAUAAUGUAAUAACUAGAAAUAACUUUACAGAGAGACCCAUAGCCAAGCCCCCAAAACCAGAUGAGCUACCCAAGAACAGCGGAAGAGCCUACUCACCUAUGUGGCAAAAUAGUGGGAAGAUUCAUGAGUAGCAGUGACAAACCUACUGAGCCUGGUGAUAGCUGGUUGUCCAAGAUAGAAUCUUAGACAACUCCCAUAGCAGAUCCUCUAAUUUUAAUAAAGGUCUCCUAUUUAUACUAGCCACAUCAAGCAUAGCCGUCUACUUACCCACAGAACUACUUAGUCCUCCUGUAAGUUUAACUGCUAGUCUAAAGAGGGACAGAUCUUUAUACCCUAGGAAAUAACCUUCCUCCAGAGAGUAAAAAUUAUUACCACCAUAGUUGGCCCCAAAGCAGCCACCAAUUAAGAAAGCAUUCAAGCUCAACAUCUAACUAUUUUAAAUCCUAACCACUCUACUGAAUCCCAAUAUUACAUUGGACUUAAUCUAUUACUUAACAGAAGCAAUAAUGUUAAUAUAAGUAACAUGAAGAUAUUCUCUAUUGCAUAAGCUUACAUCAGACCAAAAGAACUCACUGACAGUUAACAGCCUAAUAUUAAUAAGUGAUAUAAUAAGGACCCUAUUAUUUAUACUGCUAAUCCAACACAGGUAUUCUCGAAGGAAAGUUUACAAAAAGUAAAAGGAACUCAGCCAAUCUUACUCUGCCUGUUUACCAAAAACAUCACCUCUAGCAUUACCAGUAUUAGAGGCACUACCUGCCCAGUGACAUAUGUUCAACGGCCAUGGUGUCCUGACUGUGCAAAGGUAGCAUAAUCACUUGUUUCCUAAAUAGGAACUUGUAUAAAUGGCCACACAAAGCUUCAGCUGUCUCUUACUUUAAAUCAGUGAAAUUAUUCGAUGGGAUAUAAACAAAUAAAAUGAAAAGACCCUAUGGAGCUUUAUUUCAUUAAUGCAAAUAGAAACUCGCCCUAACCCAUACCACUGCAUUAAAAUUUUUGGCUGGGGUCUCGGAGCAUAAUUCAACCUCUGAACAACCUAAACUAAGACUGCACUAGUCUAAGCAAGUCAACAUAUAUUGACCCAAUAAUUUAAUCAAUGGAAUAAGUUGCCCUAGGGAUAACAGCGCAAUUCUAUUCUAGAGUCCACAUUGACAAUAGGGAUUACAACCUUGAUGCUGGAUCAGGCUAUCCUAAUGGUGUAGCUGCUAUUAAGAGUUCGUUUGUUCAACAAUAACGUCUACAUGAUCUGAGUUCAGACUGGAAUAAUACAGGUCGGUUUCUAGCUAUUUAAUAUUUCUCCUAGUACA
rnacentral:ncRNA from 1 species